CUACAUCAACUCAGUGAAGGGUAGACUCACCACCUCCAGAGACAAUGACAAGAAUGAGCUCUACCUGCAAAUGAACAACCUGAGAGCUGAGGACACAGCUCUAUAUUACUGUGCAAAGAGAGGGGCUUACUGGAGAAGAGG